rnacentral:rRNA from 1 species
GCAUAAUAAUCCGGAGGGAAAAAGAAACCAACUGGGAUUACCUUAGUAACGGCGAGUGAAGCGGUAAAAGCUCAAAUUUGAAAUCUGGUACUUUCAGUGCCCGAGUUGUAAUUUGUAGAAUUUGUCUUUGAUUAGGUCCUUGUCUAUGUUCCUUGGAACAGGACGUCAUAGAGGGUGAGAAUCCCGUUUGGCGAGGAUACCUUUUCUCUGUAAGACUUUUUCGAAGAGUCGAGUUGUUUGGGAAUGCAGCUCAAAGUGGGUGGUAAAUUCCAUCUAAAGCUAAAUAUUGGCGAGAGACCGAUAGCGAACAAGUACAGUGAUGGAAAGAUGAAAAGAACUUUGAAAAGAGAGUGAAAAAGUACGUGAAAUUGUUGAAAGGGAAGGGCAUUUGAUCAGACAUGGUGUUUUUUGCAUGCACUCGCCUCUCGUGGGCUUGGGCCUCUCAAAAAUUUCACUGGGCCAACAUCAAUUCUGGCAGCAGGAUAAAUCAUUAAGAAUGUAGCUACUUCGGUAGUGUUAUAGCUUUUUGGAAUACUGUUAGCCGGGAUUGAGGACUGCGCUUCGGCAAGGAUGUUGGCAUAAUGGUUGAAUGC